rnacentral:rRNA from 1 species
AGGGAAUCUUCGGCAAUGGACGGAAGUCUGACCGAGCAACGCCGCGUGAGUGAAGAAGGUUUUCGGAUCGUAAAGCUCUGUUGUAAGAGAAGAACGAGUGUGAGAGUGGAAAGUUCACACUGUGACGGUAUCUUACCAGAAAGGGACGGCUAACUACGUGCCAGCAGCCGCGGUAAUACGUAGGUCCCGAGCGUUGUCCGGAUUUAUUGGGCGUAAAGCGAGCGCAGGCGGUUAGAUAAGUCUGAAGUUAAAGGCUGUGGCUUAACCAUAGUACGCUUUGGAAACUGUUUAACUUGAGUGCAAGAGGGGAGAGUGGAAUUCCAUGUGUAGCGGUGAAAUGCGUAGAUAUAUGGAGGAACACCGGUGGCGAAAGCGGCUCUCUGGCUUGUAACUGACGCUGAGGCUCGAAAGCGUGGGGAGCAAACAGGAUUAGAUACCCUGGUAGUCCACGCUGUAAACGAUGAGUGCUAGGUGUUAGACCCUUUCCGGGGUUUAGUGCCGUAGCUAACGCAUUAAGCACUCCGCCUGGGGAGUACGACCGCAAGGUUG